AAACGGAUCAUGAUGAUUUAGGGGAGCGCAGAGCGGACGCAGCAGCGCUUUGACUUUGGACUUUGUCAUCAGCGUUUAUAGUGGCUAUCUGGGAAUAUAUAUGUGUACUUGCCAGUGACACCUUCAACACGUUUGUUUCAUUUUGCGGUCGAUGAUUAGUUGGAAUAUUGUUUGACAUGGAAUGAAAUUAACUGUAGCCUAAUAUGUUGAAUGCUAAUUGUGCAUUUUAGUGCUCGAGUAGGCUCGACUACCCGAUAGAGCUGCUCACUCUGUAAAUCUUUUUCGAUGUUGGAACGGUCAGCAGAGGAUAAGGACAUGGACGACUUCAGACGGGUCGCCUUCCGGAGGAAACCCCGAACUUUUGUCGAAUCCGACAUGGAGCAUGAUGAAUAUUCAGCUCUAAGCAGCAGCCCCAGUGAACGCGGCAGCGGCCCCCGCAGUGCGAGAGUCAGUCAGACAGGUCUGUGUGGGAAGAGUCCCAGUGAGAAGAGCAGGAGGGGUGUCAAUGGAAGAGGCUUGGCCAGCAGGCCCUCACUGCAGCCCAAACCACAAGUGCCUCCGAAGCCAGUGCACCUCCAGAGCCAGGUGACGGUGCCUGCUGGCCCCCUGCUGGCGCUGGGGCGCGUGGAGAGAGGACUCUUCAGAGCCACCAUGGAGGAGGGAGGAGGAGGGGCGGUGACUGGGAAGAGGCGGGAGAAACCCUCCAAAGUCUUGGACCUCAUCAACCACUUUGAGGAGAACAGCCAGUCGGAAAUCAAGAGGGAGGGCUCGCCACUGAAGCAGCUUAGCAAGUCCCCCCUCUGCAGCCGGCUCACCGGUGCUACCAGACAGUCUGAGCCCAAACAACGGACAACAACUUAGGCUCUGUCCCAGGAACGCCACGGAUGCUCACAAACCAGCGAAUAACGGGGUGCGCCAGAUGGACCAGAGACAGGGACAGGGAGAGUGGAUCCCCCCUGAGGACCGACACUGCCCUGGUGAAUGGGGACAUGGGGUACAGGAGCACAGAGCAGGUGGGGAUAACUCCCCUACAAACACAGAGACAGGAGACCCUUCCCGAGACAGAGACCCCCCCGAGACAGAGACCAUACCGAGAAAGAGACCCUUCCCGAGACAGAGACCCACUACCGAGACCAUACCGAGCCAGAGACCCAUACCGAGCAGACCCAUACCGGACGAGACCCAUACCGAGAC
rnacentral:lncRNA from 1 species